UGAAUACGAGACGCUAAGGCGUUGAAGUAGUGUAUGUCAUACUUCCAAGAAAAGCUUGCACUGUCAUAGAUAAAAAACGCCUGUACCAUAACCGACACAGGUGGGUAGGUAGAGUAUACUAAGGGGCGCGAGAUAACUCUCUCUAAGGAACUCGGCAAAAUAACUCCGUAACUUCGGGAGAAGGAGUGCCUUAUUUAUAAGGCUGCAAUAACAAGAUCCAAGCAACUGUUUAUCAAAAACACAGGUCUCCGCUAAGUCGUAAGACGAUGUAUGGGGGCUGACGCCCGCCCAGUGCCAGAAGGUUAAAGAAGUUGGUUAGCAAUAGCGAAGCUGAUAACUGAAGCCCUGGUGAACGGCGGCCGUAACGAUAACGGUCCUAAGGUAGCGAAAUUCCUUGUCGGGUAAGUUCCGACCCGCACGAAAGGCGUAAUGAUUUGGAUACUGUCUCGGAGAGGGGCUCGGUGAAAUAGACUUGUCUGUGAAGAUGCGGACUACCUGCACCAGGACAGAAAGACCCUAUGAAGCUUUACUGUAACUUGAAAUUGAAAUUGGACUUUAUUCGCGCAGUAUAGGUGGGAGGCGUUGAUUGUAAUCUUGCGGGAUUAUUGGAGCCAUCAGUGAGAUACCACCCUUGUAAUGUUAGAUUUCUAACUUUGAAUCAUUAUCUGGUCAAAGAACAGUUUCAGGCGGGCAGUUUGACUGGGGCGGUCGCCUCCUAAACGGUAACGGAGGCGUACAAAGGUUUCCUCUGAACGGUUAGAAAUCGUAUCUAGAGUGUAAAGGCAUAAGGAAGCUUGACUGUGAGACCUACAAGUCGAGCAGGGACGAAAGUCGGUCUUAGUGAUCUGACGGUACUGAGUGGAAAGGCCGUCACUCAACGGAUAAAAGUUACUCUAAGGAUAACAGGCUGAUCUCCCCCAAGAGUUCACAUCGACGGGGAGGUUUGGCACCUCGAUGUCGGCUCAUCGCAUCCUGGGGCGGUAGUACGUCCCAAGGGUUGGGCUGUUCGCCCAUGAAAGCGGUACGCGAGCUGGGUUCAGAACGUCGUGAGACAGUUCGGUCCAUAUCCGGUGUAGGCGUUAGAAUAUUGAGAGGAGCCUUCUUUAGUACGAGAGGACCGAGAAGGACAUACCUCUGGUGUACCAGUUAUCGUGCCAACGGUAAACGCUGGGUAGCUAUGUAUGGAGUGGAUAACCGCUGAAAGCAUCUAAGUGGGAAGCCCACCUCAAGAUAAGUAUUCUCA
rnacentral:rRNA from 1 species